rnacentral:rRNA from 1 species
UGAACGCUGGCGGCAGGCCUAACACAUGCAAGUCGAGCGGUAGAGAGAAGCUUGCUUCUCUUGAGAGCGGCGGACGGGUGAGUAAAGCCUAGGAAUCUGCCUGGUAGUGGGGGAUAACGUUCGGAAACGGACGCUAAUACCGCAUACGUCCUACGGGAGAAAGCAGGGGACCUUCGGGCCUUGCGCUAUCAGAUGAGCCUAGGUCGGAUUAGCUAGUUGGUGAGGUAAUGGCUCACCAAGGCGACGAUCCGUAACUGGUCUGAGAGGAUGAUCAGUCACACUGGAACUGAGACACGGUCCAGACUCCUACGGGAGGCAGCAGUGGGGAAUAUUGGACAAUGGGCGAAAGCCUGAUCCAGCCAUGCCGCGUGUGUGAAGAAGGUCUUCGGAUUGUAAAGCACUUUAA